UCCAAGCCUACGGUCUUCAGAGGCCAUCCU
rnacentral:piRNA from 1 species